GAAGGCCUUGCGGCGGAACAUGGCGGUGAACUGCUCGCUGACCCUGCGGAACAUCUCCUGGAUGGAGGUGGAGUUGCCGACGAAGGUGGAGGACAUGGCGAGCCCCACAGGCGGGAUGUCGCAGACGCUGGACUUGACGUUGUUGGGGAUCCACUCGACGAAGUAGGAGGAGUUCUUGUUCUGCACGUUCAUCAUCUGCUCGUCCACCUCCUUGGUGCUCAUCUUGCCCCUGAACAUGGCGGACGCCGUGAGGUAGCGGCCGUGGCGCGGGUCAGCCGCGCACAUCAUGUUCUUGGCGUCCCACAUCUGCUG
rnacentral:lncRNA from 1 species